rnacentral:ncRNA from 1 species
GUAAGCCGUAUGAGGGAAAACUUCACGUACGGUUUGAUGAAGGGGUUCUGAUAGUUUUCUCAAAAUGAUUACAUUUAUAAUUAUUUAAACUGAGAGAGCUAUCAGGCUCUACUCUAC